CCGUCGAUUGUUCCGGUCGGAGAUCGCCGGCAAAUACACCUGCCGUAGUUGUUGAGCGCGGUGUGGAUUGUAGAAGGCGAGAUGUAUGCUUUGCCGCAAAUGGAAAGGUAAAACUGAAAAGGAGUUCUUGGUGAAAACAGGGCCUUUUCCGUGCUGUUAAUUAUAGUUCGCAUAUCAAACAAGCAUCAGCAGCAGCUACUACCUCUGAGGCUGGUCAGGAUGAGAUAAUCAAAUAGCUUCACCAUCUCAUAGAAAACUAUACAAUUCUACGAGAUGAAUUCUUCUAGAAAACGGAUCAUGCUCUACGGCGUUCAGCAACGCCCUAUGCUGGUACCAGUUUCAUCUAAUAUCCCAAUCAACCCACUCUUCGCC
rnacentral:lncRNA from 1 species